rnacentral:rRNA from 1 species
CUGGACCCUUGAGGUCCCUGAAGUGCCCUCGAAGACUACGAGGUUGAUAGGCUGGGUGUGGAAGUUCAGUAAUGGAUGAAGCUAACCAGUACUAAUUGCACGUGAGGCUUGAUCAUAUAACGCCAAAGC